rnacentral:rRNA from 1 species
GAUGAACGCUAGCGGCAGGCCUAACACAUGCAAGUCGAGGGGCAGCAUAAUGUAGCAAUAUAUUGAUGGCGACCGGCGCACGGGUGAGUAACGCGUAUGCAACCUACCUUUAACUGGGAGAUAGCCCGGAGAAAUUCGGAUUAAUACCCCAUAACAUUGCGAGAGGGCAUCUGAUUGCAAUUAAAGCUCAGGCGGUUAAAGAUGGGCAUGCGUGCCAUUAGCUAGUUGGUAAGGUAAUGGCUUACCAAGGCUACGAUGGCUAGGGGGCCUGAGAGGGUAGUCCCCCACACUGGUACUGAGACACGGACCAGACUCCUACGGGUGGCAG